GAGGGUGUUAGUUAGUCUCGAUAGUGUUACCAAGACCGCAACGAGCUGAUCUAAAAGCUCGUCAUAGAUAACAACAACAAAAGACCCUUUAGCGGCAUUUUUAAAGUCGCAAAACAUUUAUCCCAUGGGGGUGUUUUUCCACGGGUAGGAAUCCUAAGUUUUUACUCUUGAAUAUGGCUUUUGAGUGUCACACAUCCUCUGUUUUUAGAGGAUUACGUAUUGAAAGCUAGGAGUUUGCUUAGAGUGUCAUUAGGUUAGUAAAUGUGGCUGUAACGCCCUGACAGUCGGGCUGCAAACGGUUAAAUUUAAUAGACUGCUCUAAGCAUGUAGAGCUAUAGGCAGAGGGCUGACGGACGCGGGUUCAAUUCCCGCCGCCUCCACCA
rnacentral:tmRNA from 1 species